GAUGAACGCUGGCGGCGUGCCUAAUACAUGCAAGUCGAGCGAACAGACGAGGAGCUUGCUCCUCUGACGUUAGCGGCGGACGGGUGAGUAACACGUGGAUAACCUACCUAUAAGACUGGGAUAACUUCGGGAAACCGGAGCUAAUACCGGAUAAUAUAUUGAACCGCAUGGUUCAAUAGUGAAAGACGGUUUUGCUGUCACUUAUAGAUGGAUCCGCGCCGCAUUAGCUAGUUGGUAAGGUAACGGCUUACCAAGGCAACGAUGCGUAGCCGACCUGAGAGGGUGAUCGGCCACACUGGAACUGAGACACGGUUCAGACUCCUACGGGAGGCAGCAGUAGGGAAUCUUCCGCAAUGGGCGAAAGCUUGACGGAGCAACGCCGCGUGAGUGAUGAAGGUCUUCGGAUCGUAAAACUCUGUUAUUAGAGAAGAACAAAUGUGUAAGUAACUAUGCACGUCUUGACGGUACCUAAUCAGAAAGCCACGGCUAACUACGUG
rnacentral:rRNA from 1 species